AGCAGCCGCGGUAAUUCCAGCUCCAAUAGCGUAUAUUAAAGUUGUUGCAGUUAAAAAGCUCGUAGUUGAAUUUCGGGGUUAGUAGGUUGGUCAUGCCACUGGUAUGUACUGGUCUCACUGAUUCCUCCUUCCUGAUGAACUGUAAUGCCAUUAAUUUGGUGUUGCAGGGAAUCUGGACUGUUACUUUAGAAAAAAUUAGAGUGUUUAAAGCAGGCUAACGCCUGAAUACAUUAGCAUGGAAUAAUGAAAUAGGACGUUCGAUCCUAUUUUGUUGGUUUCUAGGAUUGACGUAAUGAUUAAUAGGGAUAGUUGGGGGCAUUAGUAUUCAAUUGUCAGAGGUGAAAUUCUUGGAUUUAUUGAAGACUAACUACUGCGAAAGCAUUUGCCAAGGAUGUUUUCAUUAAUCAAGAACGAAAGUUAGGGGAUCGAAGACGAUCAGAUACCGUCGUA
rnacentral:rRNA from 1 species